UUCAACAAAUUCUUACAAAGACGUUUGUUCCUUGCAUUUUUACUUUUCCAUUAAAAUAACAGUAAUAAAAUCUUCCAUGAUGAAAUUUACUGUAGAUAAUUGGCUACAAUAAAAAUGAAUACAUUAAAAAAAGAUACUACACACAUUAUUGUUCUUUUCAUUAAUUCAAAAAAUUCUAAUGAAGAAUCAGUAGAAUUAGUUCCGCGUUCAUGGUUAAAGUUCACGGAUAAAUGGCUAUGUUACUUCCCAGAAAAAAAAGAUUGGUCUAAGGUUGAUAAAUGGACAAAAAUAUCCAAGGAUCCAAAAGAAGAUUGGAAAUUAUGGGAAGUCAUAAUAUUAAAAGAAGCAAUUAAUUAUGAUCAAGGCAAACGUCGACUAUAGAAAGCGUAUACACACUCAGUUUUAUCUAGUACUGCUGAGGAAACAAAUGUAAAUGAUAAUCCUGGCAUUGUAAUUCUUAAAGAGAAAGAUUGUUCAACUGCGUUAGAUAAUAUACCAUCAUAUGUUCCUUAUGCCUGCAUUAAAAGAGGGAAAUAGUAAAAUAACAUAUAAUAAUGAUGACUCUUUUGCACAAUUAAUAGACCGAUUUGAACGUUUUGAAUUAACAAUAAAACAAGAAAUUGAAAGUGUAAA